GACGUAGGGCGCGAGCGUUGUCCGGAUUUAUUGGGCGUAAAGAGCUCGUAGGCGGCUUGUCGCGUCGUCUGUGAAAUCCCGCGGCUCAACUGCGGGCUGCAGUCGAUACGGGCAGGCUGGAGUUCGGUAGGGGAGACUGGAAUUCCUGGUGUAGCGGUGAAAUGCGUAGAGAUCGGGAGGAAUGCCGGUGGCGAAAGCGACUCUCUGGACGGCAACUGACGCUGAGGCACGAAAGCGUGGGGAGCAAACAGG
rnacentral:rRNA from 1 species